UACAGAGGUCUCAAGCGUUGUUCGGAUUCAUUGGGCGUAAAGGGUGCGUAGGUGGCGAGGUUAGUCAGGUGUGAAAUCUCGGGGCUCAACCCCGAAACUGCACUUGAUACUGCCGUGCUUGAGGACUGGAGAGGAGACUGGAAUUUACGGUGUAGCGGUGAAAUGCGUAGAUAUCGUAAGGAAGACCAGUGGCGAAGGCGGGUCUCUGGGCCGAUAUUGACGCUGAGGAGCGAAAGCGUGGGGAGCGAACAGG
rnacentral:rRNA from 1 species